CGCAAGUGUUUUUAAGAAAAAAAAUCUCGGAGGCACUCGUAUAUUUGAAAACAAAUUAUUUUGGUUUUGAAACUUGUUGUGGAUGGAUCAGCCACGGGAAUGUGAAAAAUAUCAGCAUUGCAGGUGGAUUGGUGCAGGAGCUUUUGGUAAGGUGUACCGGGCUAUCGAUACCGAAAUCAACUGCGUUGUAGCUUUGAAGCUUACAGGGCUUGAAGGUGAUGGUAAUGAUGGAAGUGUACCGGCUGUGUCACUCAGAGAGAUGUCCGUCCUGAAGGAGAUGGACCAUGAAAACAUUAUUAAGUUGUUGGAUGUGGUGCACCAAGAUGGCAAGAGAUUGACUCUAGUUUUUGAAUUUAUGGAUGGAGAUUUGCUCGAAUUUAUGAAAGCACGUUCAGAUCGUUUCAGUGAUUCAAAUCUAAUCAAAAGACUCCUUGGUCAAUUUCUCUCUGCUGUUGACCAUUGUCAUUCUCGAAGGGUUUCCAUCGAGAUUUGAAACCAGCAAAUUUGCUAGUAAAUCAGAAAAAUUACACAUUGAAAGUAGCUAAUUUCGGAUUGGCUAAAGCAUUCAGCAUUCCACAAAAAAAAUACACGCCUCAGUGCACAACGCUUGCGUACGAAAAGUAUUGCUGGGAUCAACAGAACAUUAUGUUGCCGCUGAUAUGUGAUCGGUAGGAUGCAUAUUUGCUGAGAUGGUGAAUCAGGAGUGAUUGUUUGAUACCGUGAAUUUGAAGAGGGAUCCUGAUAGAGAUUUUAAGAAGGAGCAAAUGAGCUUAAUUUUCAGUAUACUGGGUACUCCAGAGCAGGACUCGUUUAUUGGAAUCACUUUUCCUGAUUGUCUAUCUAAGUUCCCAGAGCAUCAGUCUCCGGAACUGAGAGUUGUUGUUCCAACACUUGGAUCAACUGGAAUCGACCUUCUUUCGAAAAUGCAAUGCUUCGAUCCUGAAAGAAGAAUAACCGCUGCUGCUGCGCUUCGUCAUGAGUACUUCCGGGAUAUUGCAGGACAGUAAGAAUUGCAAAUUGAAUUAACUGGACUGGUAAUUCCUCACUCUUAUCUUUUCUAGUUUGAAUGUUGGAAAACUUGUUCUUCGUGCAUAUGUUGUGUGUACAGUUCGUAGGUGAAUGAGGGGAUGGAUUUUGAUCUCAAAGUUCAGUAGUCAAUUGUGUUUCAUGUUCAAGGAUCAUGGUAUGAAAUAUAAAAAUACAAGUCAGCUUGUUCCCGGCUA